GGAUGCUCUGGAGAACAUCUUACCCACCAUUCAAUUUAAACGUCAUUUAAGAGCCCGGCCUCCUGAUGAGUUGCUUAGAUUUCCAAAUCAUGAUAUUCCCUUGUCAUUAAAAACACAGCUGGAGACCAGCUUCCAGACCUAAUGCAAAUGAUAAUAUCUUUUAGUAACUCAAAAUAAAAAUGCUUGGGUCAUGAUACCUGGCAUUUUGUGGUAACCCUUCCCUGAAGGCCUGCAAACAUCAAUCUAUCUCUUGGCUGUAGGUGUUACUGUGACAUGGAUCUGAAAAUAACACACUGGGAUGUGAUCUUAAGCUAAUCUGUCAUCACUGGGUGCAUAAGCAGCCUAAAGUCUUUGCAGAAAUAUUGUGUUAUCCUUCUCAUGGUGCUGCUGACUCUUUGAACCACACCAGCAAAACGUGGCUUUUCAAAAUGAGGAAGAUUACAUCUGCUUGCCAUGCGAGAGGUAUUCUUCCAUGCCCUGCGACAUCAUAAAACAGAGCAUCAGGACAGGAACUUGGGUCUCGUUAUCACAGUAUCAGACCACUUCCUAUGCUGGAGCAUUGUGAUCCUUCUGACAUCCCUGCAGCAGGACGUGGAGACCUCAGGCACCAGGAGCAGAGUGCUUUCAGUGGGUCACCCCACAGCAGCAACUAAACAUCUUGUUCCAGUGCUGAGAGAGGAAUCUGGCCCUGCGGACAUUCACCUGUGACUUUUCUCAUUGUCUUUAUUUUUCUUGAUGCAAACUGACAUACAGACCGAGCCCUACCAUCUGUGUUACAACGGUUGGAGGCCCAAGGUUGGCUGUGUUUUGGUACCAAGUCCUUCCACCGUUGGUGUCCACAUAUUAAAGGUAAUGUCUUUUAGUGUAUGCUCAUAAGAAAGUUUGGUUCUGUUUGCUACAACUGAUGAUAACUGUGCCUUCUUUUUUAAGAACUGCAGCCCUCAAAAAGACAGUUUUUUAAUGUCUGCCACACAUCCGUGCCUCAGCUUUGCUGGCGUGAAACCAGGAAAGACGGCACAUUUCAUUUCCUGUUAUCUCCAAUCAGUGCAGGGAGCUCACACCGCUGCUCACUUCAGCUUUGCUGAGAUGUGGACAUUUUGGCUUUUUGGGGAGUCCACACUUAUGGUGCGCGAUCAGUGCAGUUUAAGGCGUAAAGGCGCAAAGUGAGGGCCGUGACAGCUUGAAGGAUUGCGUGGGCUCCACCAGCCAGACCCUAUCUGAGCACAAAUUAAAAAAAAAAUAGUGUUGACAGACAACUUUCAGAAGUUGCUUUGUCGAGCGUCAGCUUCACUUCACAGCACAUUGUCACAUGCCAGCGCUGACACUUGUGGCAUGCCUUGCUGGCACAGUGUGGCAUGUCUUUCGUGCUGGUGUCUUUUUCUGCAUUUCUUUCCCACUAAAUUCCUGAUUUACAACCUGCAGUCAUCAGGCUUUGCUCUUGUUGUAUAGGUGAAAGGAGCCUUGUUGCAUAGCAUGUACUAGAAGAGCAGUGCAGCCAGCACAAUUAAAGAACAGUCAAGAAUGGAGCAUAUGAACCCCUAAAUGUAAUGAUAUUUCUGUGCUAUGAAGUGCUUUCUGCUGCCGGGCUUCUAAUAUCCCAGUUCUUCCAUUCAUUCAGAAAUCGUGGCAGUAUCUGUUACUCUGAGAGCAAAGACUUAGCAGAGUUAACAGCUGCUGGAGGCCAGGUGAGACGAACACAGCUUAUGUU
rnacentral:lncRNA from 1 species